AAGUCGUAACAAGGUUUCCGUAGGUGAACCUGCGGAAGGAUCAUUAACUAACUGGGCGCCGCAAGGCGUGCUUAAGGGACCGCAAGGUCCCACUAGGAACCGCAAGGUUCCUUUAUCAUUGUGAACCAGGGUGGUUAAUAUGUCAGGCAAGCAGUUAAAUUGUAUGUUGCUGUGGCUGUUGUCGUUGUCUUACAUCACACUUCAGCUGCUACCUGAUCUUAGCUUACCUACCCCUCUUUAAUAGUAUUCAUGUUUAUGUCUAUGUGUGUCUCAAUAUAUUAUCAGUACACUUUCAACAGUGGAUCUCUCGGCUCUU
rnacentral:misc_RNA from 1 species